rnacentral:misc_RNA from 1 species
GCAUCCCAAUCCUGCAGCCCAACCUCAGCAGCAUAUUCAGAAUUAAACCAAUCCUCUACUACACCAACAGUCUCUUCACACACCUGCCUUACACUUGCCCUUAAUCUAUGCAUCAUUUCAUAUACUUUAUCAGCCUUUUUAGAAAAAGAACUAACUUUCAACAGAGCAGAAAGCUCUGCUUCCUCAGCCACAACCCCUGAUUCCCCCAUAUGUACAUCAACCUCAUAAGCCUUAUCAGCCAUUCCCUUUUCACAAAACCCAAACAACGCUGGGCCAUAUGAUCUUAACUUAGGAGGAACACCAAAACUCUUCAUUUUCUUCACUAAAUCAAAAGCCAUUUCUG